UACGUAGGGGGCAAGCGUUGUCCGGAAUCAUUGGGCGUAAAGAGCGCGUAGGCGGCCCGAUAAGUCCGCUGUGAAAGUCAAGGGCUCAACCCUUGAAUGCCGGUGGAUACUGUCGGGCUAGAGUCCGGAAGAGGCGAGUGGAAUUCCUGGUGUAGCGGUGAAAUGCGCAGAUAUCAGGAAGAACACCAAUGGCGAAGGCAGCUCUCUGGGACGGUACUGACGCUGAGACGCGAAAGCGUGGGGAGCGAACAGG
rnacentral:rRNA from 1 species